rnacentral:lncRNA from 1 species
AAAGAAGCAGUCUGUCAUCUAGUUCAACACAAUGUCCAGUGACAGGAAUUCAUUGCUUUAAUGCCUGAAUCAUUAGCAUAUGAACUAAAGUAUGUAACACUUAUUGUGGGCAUCGAAUCUCAGGCCAUGUUGAUAUUAUGCUUCCUCUUUUGACCUUAACUUCAUACUUCUGCAAUGUAUGCAGCAGUGUGGAAUGUGAACAGGUACUGUGUGCAUAGGUGUGUGAUUCAAAAACUUCUCCAACUUUAUGAGCACUUGGCAUGAGCCAGUGUCAGGACUGAGCAUAGGCAG